UGAAUACGAGACGCUAAGGCGUCGAAGUAGUGUAUGUCAUACUUCCAAGAAAAGCUUGCACUGUCAUAAGUAAAAAAUGCCUGUACCAUAACCGACACAGGUGGGUAGGUAGAGUAUACUAAGGGGCGCGAGAUAACUCUCUCUAAGGAACUCGGCAAAAUAACUCCGUAACUUCGGGAGAAGGAGUACCUUAUUCUAUAAGGUUGCAAUAACAAGAUCCAAGCAACUGUUUAUCAAAAACACAGGUCUCCGCUAAGUCGUAAGACGAUGUAUGGGGGCUGACGCCUGCCCAGUGCCAGAAGGUUAAAGAAGUCGGUUAGCAUUAGCGAAGCUGGUAACUGAAGCCCUGGUGAACGGCGGCCGUAACUAUAACGGUCCUAAGGUAGCGAAAUUCCUUGUCGGGUAAGUUCCGACCCGCACGAAAGGCGUAAUGAUUUGGAUACUGUCUCGGAGAGGGGCUCGGUGAAAUAGACUUGUCUGUGAAGAUGCGGACUACCUGCACCAGGACAGAAAGACCCUAUGAAGCUUUACUGUAACUUGAAAUUGAAAUUGGACUUUAUUCGCGCAGUAUAGGUGGGAGGUGUUGAUUAUAAUCUUGCGGGAUUAUUGGAGCCAUCAGUGAGAUACCACUCUUGUAAUGUUAGAUUUCUAACUUUGAAUCAUUAUCUGGUCAAAGGACAGUUUCAGGCGGGCAGUUUGACUGGGGCGGUCGCCUCCCAAACGGUAACGGAGGCGUACAAAGGUUUCCUCUGAACGGGUAGAAAUCGUAUCUAGAGUGUAAAGGCAUAAGGAAGCUUGACUGUGAGACCUACAAGUCGAACAGGGACGAAAGUCGGUCUUAGUGAUCUGACGGUACUGAGUGGAAAGGCCGUCACUCAACGGAUAAAAGUUACUCUAAGGAUAACAGGCUGAUCUCCCCCAAGAGUUCACAUCGACGGGGAGGUUUGGCACCUCGAUGUCGGCUCAUCGCAUCCUGGGGCGGUAGUACGUCCCAAGGGUUGGGCUGUUCGCCCAUGAAAGCGGUACGCGAGCUGGGUUCAGAACGUCGUGAGACAGUUCGGUCCACAUCCGGUGUAGGCGUUAGAAUAUUGAGAGGAGCCUUCUUUAGUACGAGAGGACCGAGAAGGACAUACCUCUGGUGUACCAGUUAUCGUGCCAACGGUAAACGCUGGGUAGCUAUGUAUGGAGUGGAUAACCGCUGAAAGCAUCUAAGUGGGAAGCCCACCUCAAGAUAAG
rnacentral:rRNA from 1 species